rnacentral:tRNA from 2 species
CGUAGCUCAGCUGGAUAGAGUACUCGGCUACGAACCGAGCGGUCGGAGGUUCGAAUCAUCCCG